GGUUAGGUGGCUGAUUUAGGCGGCGAAUUGUAAAUUCGCCCAUGAGGACUUCCUCCCUGUCCA
rnacentral:tRNA from 1 species